rnacentral:tRNA from 1 species
GCGUCCUUAGCUCAGUUGGAUAGAGCAACGGCCUUCUAAGCCGUAGGUUACUGGUUCGAGUCCAGUAGGACGCA